UACAGAGGUCUCAAGCGUUGUUCGGAUUCAUUGGGCGUAAAGGGUGCGUAGGCGGCCGAUCAAGUCGGAGGUGGAAUCCCUCGGCUCAACUGAGGAAUUGCCUUCGAUACUGUUCGGCUUGAGUCCUGGAGAGGGUAGCGGAAUUCCACGUGUAGCGGUGAAAUGCGUAGAGAUGUGGAGGAACACCAGUGGCGAAGGCGACUCUUUGGCCUGUAACUGACGCUGAGGCGCGAAAGCGUGGGGAGCAAACAGG
rnacentral:rRNA from 1 species